AGCGAACGCUGGCGGCAGGCUUAACACAUGCAAGUCGAGCGGGCACUUUCGGGUGUCAGCGGCGGACGGGUGAGUAACGCGUGGGAACGUGCCCUCUGGUUCGGAAUAACUCAGGGAAACUUGAGCUAAUACCGGAUACGCCCUUUUGGGGAAAGGCUUGCUGCCGGAGGAUCGGCCCGCGUCUGAUUAGCUAGUUGGUGGGGUAACGGCUCACCAAGGCGACGAUCAGUAGCUGGUCUGAGAGGAUGAUCAGCCACACUGGGACUGAGACACGGCCCAGACUCCUACGGGAGGCAGCAGUGGGGAAUAUUGGACAAUGGGCGCAAGCCUGAUCCAGCCACGCCGCGGGAGUGAUGAAGGCCUUAGGGUUGUAAAGCUCUUUUAUCCGGGACGAUAAUGACGGUACCGGAGGAAUAAGCCCCGGCUAACUUCGUG
rnacentral:rRNA from 1 species